UACGUAGGUGGCGAGCGUUGUCCGGAUUUAUUGGGUUUAAAGGGUGCGUAGGCGGCUCAUUAAGUCAGUGGUGAAAUACCCCGGCUCAACCGGGGGGGUGCCAUUGAUACUGAUGGGCUUGAGUACAGACGAGGCAGGCGGAAUUGACGGUGUAGCGGUGAAAUGCAUAGAUAUUGUCAAGAACACCGAUAGCGAAGGCAGCUUGCUAGCCUGUAACUGACGCUGAGGCACGAAAGUGUGGGUAGCAAACAGG
rnacentral:rRNA from 1 species